rnacentral:rRNA from 1 species
AUUGAACGCUGGCGGCAGGCCUAACACAUGCAAGUCGAGCGGAUGAAGGGAGCUUGCUCCUGGAUUCAGCGGCGGACGGGUGAGUAAUGCCUAGGAAUCUGCCUGGUAGUGGGGGAUAACGUCCGGAAACGGGCGCUAAUACCGCAUACGUCCUGAGGGAGAAAGUGGGGGAUCUUCGGACCUCACGCUAUCAGAUGAGCCUAGGUCGGAUUAGCUAGUUGGUGGGGUAAAGGCCUACCAAGGCGACGAUCCGUAACUGGUCUGAGAGGAUGAUCAGUCACACUGGAACUGAGACACGGUCCAGACUCCUACGGGAGGCAGCAGUGGGGAAUAUUGGACAAUGGGCGAAAGCCUGAUCGAGCCAUGCCGCGUGUGUGAUGAAGGUCUUCGGAUUGUAAAGCACUUUUAGUUGGGAGGAAGGGCAGUAAGUUAAUACCUUGCUGUCUUGACGGUACCAAAAGAAUAAGCACCGGCUAACUUCGUG